rnacentral:rRNA from 1 species
UGGGGAAUAUUGCGCAAUGGGCGAAAGCCUGACGCAGCCACGCCGCGUGAGUGAUGAAGGCCUUCGGGUUGUAAGGCUCUGUCGGAGGGGAAGAACAAAUGACGGUACCCUCCAAGAAAGCACCGGCUAACUCCGUGCCAGCAGCCGCGGUAAUACGAAGGGGGCUAGCGUUGUUCGGAAUUACUGGGCGUAAAGCGCAUGUAGGCGGAUCGCUAAGUCAGGGGUGAAAUCCCGAGGCUCAACCUCGGAACUGCCUUUGAUACUGGCGAUCUUGAGUCCGGGAGAGGUGAGUGGAACUCCGAGUGUAGAGGUGAAAUUCGUAGAUAUUCGGAAGAACACCAGUGGCGAAGGCGGCUCACUGGCCCGGUACUGACGCUGAGAUGCGAAAGCGUGGGGAGCAAA